AGUUAUAAUUCCCCCUCCCAUCCCGUUAACAGACAGCCGUUCCAGAACUUUCUACAGAGCUUCCUUCUCCAGGAGACUUUCACCGUCGACCUCCACAAGGGCCUUUACAUCCUGGAAUCCAAAGCCCAUCUCUAUAGCAACAGAGACAUCAUUCAUACUCUCACCCUGGGAUACCAGCAACCCAGUCCUUUUGUGUGUUCCUCCUUGACCCACCCGUUCAGCUAUGACGUCAUCCCUCCAGACUCUGAAGUGUGUGUCACAAUGUUUAGCAAUCAGACGCAGAGAGAAGUGCGAGGGAGUGUUCGGAUCGGGAAGAAGGACAGGCUGACGUUCCUUGGACAAAUUCAGUUGAACCCCUCAAAUUUACCUCAGCACAGGGUCAAAGUUCGAGCCAACCUCACCCACCUACUCCAGGUAAGGCAGAUUCUAUCAGAGGGACAUUAAAUAAUAUAAAGAGUAUAAUAUAUAAUUAUAAUAUAAUAUACAGUACCAGUCAAAGUUUGGACACACCUACUCAUUCAAGAGGUUUUCUUCAUUUUUACUAUUUUAUAUAUUGUAGAAUAAUAGUGAAGACAUCAACACUAUGAAAUAACACAUAUGGAAUCAGGUAGUAACCAAAAAAGUGUUAAACAAAUCAAAAUAUAUUUUAGAUUCUUCAAAUUAGCCACCCUUUGCCUUGAUGACAGCUUGGUUACUGCAUGAUUCCAUAUGUGUUAUUUCAAAGUUUUGAUGUCUUCACAAUUAUUCUACAAUGUAGAUAAUAGUAAAAAAAAUAAAGAAAAACCCUUGAAUGAGUAGGUGUGUCCAAACGUUUGACUGGUACUGUGUUCCAUUGAGCAGUGUUAUUAAUGGCUCUAUUUUAACAAACCUAACGCAAUGGUCAUAUCUAAGCGCAGGCGAUUGCGUUAUAGGUUCAGGGGUGUGUCAGACAUAUUUUUCAUUUUUCACAAUUAUUGCCGCACUUGUUGGCGUGAAAAGGCUAGGUUUAGAUGAAUAAAGAAGUUGUGGGUGUGUCCAGGCUUGGCCCCUCACUGACCAAUCAGAACGUGCUCCAUUGCCAGAUAUGUGGUUGCUUCAACUGUCUUUUUAUGUAUUGCCGUGGAAUCAACUCCAAUUCCAAUUUUAGUCUGUUAUAGUUUGUUAAAUAGCUUACUGAAACGAAAGAACAAAAUGUAGACCUAUCUUUGCGAAAUAGGUUAGCUUGAACCCAUUUGCAGUCCACAAUGCUCUGAGUAAAUGCAUGGCUUCAAUAGCAUUCACACUGAUAUAGGGGCAAGGCCUACUGUAAAUUGCAUUAUGGCUGAGCAUGGACAUGCCAAACAUGGUCAAUAAGCAAGAUUAAAGUAAUUAUUGAUAAGCCCUAAAAAGAGAAUGAAUCAUUCUAAUGAAAUGCUAAACAACAACAACAACAACUUGGCUAUGUCACACCCUAUUUUUAUUAUUGGGGGAGGGUAGUUUAAUAUUCCAGAAAGAUUGUGAUACAUUUCCAAUCACUCAUAUGUGUUUUGUAAAGAAAAAAUAAAAAAAUAUAUAUACAGUACCAGUCAAAAGUUUGGACACACUUACUCAUUCAAGGGUUUUUCUUUAUUUUUACUAUGUUCUACAUUGUAGAAUAAUAAAUGAAGACAUCAAAACGAUGAAAUAGCACACCAAUAAAGUGUUAAACAAAUCAAAAUAGAUUUUAGAUUCUUCAAAGUAGCCACCCUUUGCCUUGAUGACAGCUUUGCAUACGCUUGGCAUUCUCUCAACCAGCUUCACCUGGAAUGCCUUGCCAACAGUCUUGAAGGAGUUCCCACAUAUGCUGAGCACUUGUUGCCUGCUUGUUCUUCACCCUGUGGUCCAACUCAUCCCAAACCAUCUCAAUUGGGUUGAGGUCGGGUGAUUGUGGAGGCCAGGCCAUCUGAUGCAGCACUCCAUCACUCUCCUUCUUGGUCAAAUAGCCCUUACACAGCCUGGAUGUGUGUUGGGUCAUUGUCCUGUUGAAGAAAAAAUUAUAGUCCCACUAAGCUCAAACUAGAUGGGAUGGUGUAUUUCUGCGGAAUGCUGUGGUAGCCAUGCUGGUAAAGUGUGCCUUGAAUUCUAAAUAAAUCACAGACAGUGUCACCAGCAAAGCCGCCCCACACCAUCGCACCUCCUCCUCCAUGAUUCACAGUGGGAACCACACAUACACAGAUCAUCCGUUCACCUACUCUGCGUCUCACGAAGACACAGCGGUUGGAACCAAAAAUCUAAAAUAUGAACUCAUUAGACCAAAGGACUGAUCUCCACUGUUCUAAUGUCCAUUGUUCUUGUUUCUUGGCCAAAGCAAAAAUCUUCUUAUUUUUGGUGUCCUUAAGUAGUGGUUUCUUUGCAGCAGUUCGACCACCUCAAAUAUUUCCACCCCACCAGUUUUCACAUGACGAAAUUGCAAACGAAUGUCUUUUGACACGAGUGCCGCCUUAACACCAGCCCAAAAUAGAGCCCUAUACAGAGCAUUCUGAAAGUAUUCAGACCCCUUGACCUUUUCCACAUGUUGUGUUACGUUACAGCCUUAUUCUUAAAUCUACACACAAUACCCUAUAACUACAUUUUUGCAAAUGUAUAAAAAAAAAUGCAAAUAUCACAUUAUUCAGACCCUUUACUCAGUAUUUUGUUGAAGCACCUUUGGCAGCGAUUACAGCCUCGAGUCUUCUUGGGUAUGACGCUACAAGCUUGACACACCUGUAUUUAGGGAGUUUCUCCCAUUCUUCUCUGCAGAUCCUCUCAAGCUCUGUCAGGUUGGAUGGGGAGCGUCGUUGCACAGCUAUUUUUCAGGUCUCUGGCUGGGCCACAAAAGGACAUUCAGAGACUUGUCCCGAAGCCACUGUCUAGGCUGUGUGCUUUGGGUCAUUGUUCUGUUGGAAGGUGAACCUUUGCCCCAGUCUGAGGUCCUCACCCUUCUGGAGCAAGUUUACAUCAAUGACCUCUCUGUACUUUACUCCAUUCACCGUUCAUCUUUCCUUCGAUUCAGACUUCCCUCGAUCCAGUCCCUGCUGCUAAAAAACUUCCCAACAGCAUGAUGCUGCUGCCACCACCAUGUUUCCCCGUAGGGAUGGUGCCAGGUUUCCUCCAGACAUGACAUUUGGCAUUCAGGCUAAUGAGUUCAAUCUUGGUUUCAUCAGACCAGAAAAUAUUUUUUCUU
rnacentral:lncRNA from 13 species